rnacentral:rRNA from 1 species
GACGAACGCUGGCGGCGUGCUUAACACAUGCAAGUCGAACGGAAAGGCCCUGCUUUUGUGGGGUGCUCGAGUGGCGAACGGGUGAGUAACACGUGAGUAACCUGCCCUUGACUUUGGGAUAACUUCAGGAAACUGGGGCUAAUACCGGAUAGGAGCUCCUGCUGCAUGGAGGGGGUUGGAAAGUUUCGGCGGUUGGGGAUGGACUCGCGGCUGAUCAGCUUGUUGGUGGGGUAGUGGCUUACCAAGGCUUUGACGGGUAGCCGGCCUGAGAGGGUGACCGGCCACAUUGGGCCUGAGAUACGGCCCAGACUCCUACGGUAGGCAGCAGUGGGGAAUAUUGCACAAUGGGCGGAAGCCUGAUGCAGCAACGCCGCGUUCGUGAUGACGGCCUUCGGGUUGUAAACCGCUUUCGCCUGUGACGAAGCGUGAGUGACGGUAAUGGGUAAAGAAGCACCGGCUAACUACGUG